GGUCCCGUAGCUCAGCAGGAUAGAGCGGUCGCCUCCUAAGCGACAGGCCGUGGGUUCGAAUCCCGCCGGGAUCACCA
rnacentral:tRNA from 1 species